rnacentral:rRNA from 1 species
GACGAACGCUGGCGGCGUGCCUAACACAUGCAAGUCGAGCGAAUGAAGUUCCUUCGGGACUGGAUUUAGCGGCGGACGGGUGAGUAACACGUGGGCAACCUGCCUCAUAGAGGGGAAUAGCCUCCCGAAAGGGAGAUUAAUACCGCAUAAGAUUGUAGUACCGCAUGAUACAGCAAUUAAAGGAGCAAUCCGCUAUGAGAUGGGCCCGCGGCGCAUUAGCUAGUUGGUGAGGUAAUGGCUCACCAAGGCGACGAUGCGUAGCCGACCUGGGAGGGUGAUCGGCCACAUUGGGACUGAGACACGGCCCAGACUCCUACGGGAGGCAGCAGUGGGGAAUAUUGCACAAUGGGGGAAACCAUGAUGCAGCAACGCCGCGUGAGUGAUGACGGCCUUCGGGUUGUAAAGCUCUGUCUUCAGGGACGAUAAUGACGGUACCUGAGGAGGAAGCCACGGCUAACUACGUG